GGGGGGGGGGGGGGGGGGGGCGGGGGGGGGCGGGUCGGGCGGACCGUGCGGGGGGGGUGGCGGGCGGGGGAGUGACACGUGGGAACGUGCCUGUAGGUCCGGCAUAGCUCCUGGAAACGGGUGGUAAUGCCGAAUGUGCCCUUCGGGGGAAAGAUUUAUCGCCUUUCGAGCGGCCCGCGUCUGAUUAGCUAGUUUGUGAGGUAACGGCUCACCAAGGCGACGAUCAGUAGCUGGUCUGAGAGGAUGACCAGCCACACUGGGACUGAGACACGGCCCAGACUCCUACGGGAGGCAGCAGUGGGGAAUCUUGCGCAAUGGGCGAAAGCCUGACGCAGCCAUGCCGCGUGAAUGAUGAAGGUCUUAGGAUUGUAAAAUUCUUUCACCGGGGACGAUAAUGACGGUACCCGGAGAAGAAGCCCCGGCUAACUUCGUG
rnacentral:rRNA from 1 species